UGCAAUAUGUAAGGGGCCACAUAUCCUUUUCGAAGAGGGUAGUGUAUAAUGUGUGUGUAUAAAGUGAGUUAACGGGUCACAGUUCAGCCAGAGGGCCGAGCAACAUACGUUGAUAACCCUCAUUGUAUUAAUAAUACUGUGACGGAAUCCAGUAUGCAUUUAACUUGGGGCAUAGCCAGAAUAUAUGUGUGUGAUUGGCAGCAUGUGUUUCACAGUUCCGCCAGCACAAGUUGGUCUGUGUUUGGCCCAUCGUGGCUUCUAUUUCUGGAGCUCUGAGGAAUCUGGUGAUUACUUUCCAUUUAAAUUCUCUCCAAGGACUUGCCUUUUAAACUAGGUAGGCCUCUGUGCACAUUUCCUCCCAGGUAUUCUGUGGAAUGAUCCUGUUAAUUUCUGCCUCCCAUCUCCGAUGUAUUUGUAGGGAAUAAUAUCAAUUCAUAAAUAGAAAGAAGCUUUAAAGCUAAACUUAUUGUUUUCGUAUCUUUGUUUCCCAUCCGUAUGUCUAGGUGUACAAAUUCACAAACUUUCUCGACCCUUUGAGUGUUGUUAGAAAAUUUCUCAGCUGAUAUUGGAAGAAGUCUGUUUUAGGGAGAUUAAAGUCCAUUUUCAGUUGCUCAAAUGUCUUGAGGUUUUCCUCAUUAAAUAACUGGUGGAGGUAAGUCAGUCCCAUAUCUGACCACUUUCUAAAGCCUGUGUCGGGAUUGUUAGAUGCUAAGGUCUUCAUAGAUCCAAAUGCUUGUUCAUAAGCCCAAAAGCUGACUGUAUUUUGCUCUGGAUUUGCAUGACUUUUUGUCAAUGUUGAGCCGGUGAUGUGUUUUUCCGAAUCCAAGCUAUCAAAUGUUUCAUUUGCACAGCCCAGAAGUAAUAUUUUAAUAUUUCGCUUAGAUAGCUGUAAGGUUUUAAAUCUUCUAAUCUAAUCUCCUAAUUUUAGGACACUUCAUUUGCCAAAAGCAUUUUUUAAUAAUGAAUAUAGUUGUAUCAUUGUACUAUAGGUAGCAGCUGGGAUAAGUAGAGGAGUCCAGGCAGAGCAUCCAUGUGAAUACUUUCAACAGGGCCGAGCAGGCACAGAAGGAGUGUAGACCAUCGUUCCAGGUCGCUCUUCAAUUUUAUUUUCUUAAUUUUAUUUUGUAUAGCCCAAAAUUUCCCUUAGAGGGCUUUACAGUCUGUACACAUGCAACAUCCUGUGUCCCGAAUUGUUCCUUUAUGUAUUACAGUUCUUUUUAUUUUACUAUCAUCGCAGAUGAGCUGGGCCAGAGGUUUGAGACUAAUUGCAAACAGCAGGGAUGAUGAAGGGCAGCCUUGUCUGCAGCCGUGUUCCAAUGGGAAUCUUUGUGAUAUAUAUCCAUUAACUUUAACAGCUGCCUGCGGUGAUGAAUGUGAAUGUUUGUAUCCAAUCUGAAAAGUUGGGUGUUUGGAAUAAAUAUUGCUGUGAUUCAGGGUCAAAUGUUUUUUGAACAUCUAGGGACUAAAUCAUUGCUUCUGUUUACCUUCGUUUUGAUGGGAUAUUAUGUUAAAUAAAUGUUUUUAAAAGUUCUCACCAUACUAUCCUCCAAUGAUGGGUCCUGUCUGAUCAGGAUGGAUGAUUCCAGUUAUUAUGUGAUUAACUCUUCUUGCUAGAAUUGCUGUUAGAAUGCGCAGGGUCUGGUUCUGCAGUGAGACCGGUCUAUUGGCAUCCGUGGGGUCUUCACCGUCUUUAUGAAUUACCACUGUAGUUUCCUCAGUCCAAGACAGUGCCUUAGUUUUAGAUUGUAAUGCAUGGUGGUAUGCUUUUAGCAAGAGUGGGGAUAACAUAUUCUUGAAGGUUUUAUGAAAUUCAUCAAUAUAUCCAUCUAGCCCUGGGCUUUUAUUAUUUUUGAGUGCUGCUAGAUCUCCCAUUCCUCAAUAUGCUCAUAUAAUUUCUCAGCUGCUGAUUCUGUCACUUCAGUUAGCUUUAUAGGAUCGAGGAGUUCUGCAUCAUCAGAACAGGUUUUUAUUUUUAUAUAAAAAUGUGUAUAUUUCAUCCAGUUGUGUGACAAAAGUUUCUUUUGCUUUUAUUUUCUGUAUCGUAUUAGAUGAUUGAAUUUUUUCUUUAUCUAAAUAUUUCCUGAUAAUAGGCUGUUGAGUUCCUUUUUGUGGUUGCAGUUUAAAUUGUUUAGAAGACAGUUUAGAAGUCUUUUACUGUUUCUUCCAAUUCUCUGUGUUUAGCUUUUUUUCCUCUUCUCCUACCAGUUCAAAAUAAUGAUGUGCCAAUAUGUGAAAUUGCAAAACUUUCUGGCAUUCCUACCUGGUUAACAGUACUGGUAGGAAUGCAUUUAGUCAGCAGCCUAGAUGGGAGAACCUUCUUCUGGACCUACUCCAUUCCUUUGCUGGGAUCCAAAAACUCCUCGUCCUAAUUGUUUUUUGAAAUCCGGAGUCUGCCUGGGUACUAGAGACCGUAGCGGACUCCCUUUCUCCCUCGUAAGGCCUUUCGUACUUGGGCUCCACCUUGCCGUAGAAUAAACCAGGGGACGGGAUGUCGAAGUGAGAUGAUUAUGUCUGGGACUCAAUUAAAUGUCAAAUUCCCUUUGGGUUGACAUUGUGACAUGUUCUGAUUCUUUAAACAUACAAUAAUUCUGUGAAAGCAAGUAGAAAGCACAACAUGUAAAUAUAACCCUAACAUUAUGCAGAUAUGUUUAGUGUCAUUGUAUUGAAGUACUUUAAUGGUCGUUAUUGGGACCGAAAGAAUCAGCCUAACGGAGCCCUUGUUGUGGACAUUCCUGUAACGCAUGUGCCUUUUGUUGUUGCUGCUGCAGUAAGAUAGAUUCCGUUUCAGAUUCAGCUUCAUUGUCAUUGAACAGGUACCGAGACAUCAACAUGCAACUGCAUGUUGAUGCAACUGCAUGUUGAUGUCUCAGUACCUGUCUGGUCAGAUAAUUAAUUAUCUGACCAGAUAAUUAUCUGACCAGAUAAUUAACUAAUUAUCUGACCAGAAUUGCAAGAAAGCAGUAUAGAACAGUGCAAUGCAGAUAUAAUCUGCAUAUAAUCUGCACAUAUAAUAUACAGUGGAUAUGUAUAAAUAUUAUUAGUGGCAGCUGGCCAAUAGAGGGCCAUGCUCCACCUUGAGCCACAAAAAGAAAAAAAAGAUUAUAUAUAUAAAUAUAUAUAUAUUUUUUUAUAUUAAUAAUACAUUUUACAAAUAGUCAAUAUUUGUGUUGUUUAGAUAUGGAACAUACCUAGUAAUAUUUUUAAAUAAGAUCUGCUCAAAAUAUAUGUUCUCAGCCUGCCUGCAUGUCUCAGCUGGGCUGGGGCCAAAUCGAUCAGGCCCAAAAGAGGCAGGUCUACGGAUUACAUAUAUAAAUGAGUGACAUAUCAUUUAGCCAAUCAGCAUCCUAAAAUAGACUCAGGGGGAUUCUGGGGUGUGUGGUGCCCCUAAAGAUGCGUUCCCUUCGCAGGCAGUGCUUGAGGUGGAUGGACUCAAAGUCAGGGAGUGAGGUGACUGUGAUGCGUUUUAACCAGCCUUGCGGUCUGAACCAGAACAGUUCCCCUCUCCGAACAAACUUCAUCACAAUUUAUUACCUCCUAACAAACAUCACAGGUGUAAGAGAGGUGUAAGAGAUGUCAUCGGAGAUAUAGACGCCCAGAAACCUAAAGAUGGAAACACGCUCAACCUCAGUUCCGUUGGUGGUGUGCAGCUACUUGGUCUUUCCAGUGCUGAGAGCAAGGUUUUUGUUUAAGCACCACAGCGCCAGAUGCCAGACGGACAGAGUAAUCUCAAGGAGGGGUGAAGUGAGAAGCUCCAUAUUGUGAAUAUUUAAAAGAAAUAAAACUGAUUUCGAACGCCUCCACCAGUGACGAAGUACAUAACAACUUUAUUAACCAAGUUGAAACAUUCAAAAAUAAAAGGUAUUCAAAUGAUCAGAGGUUAAUAGAAAUCUAUACCAAAAGGUUUUACAUGGAACAAAAUAAAAAAAUGUUGGUUUCCCUUACUAAAACACAAAAGAACAAGAGGAAAGUCCUUUCUAACGAACCUGGUCCUUGCUGGUGAUGUUGACACAUCAUCAAAUCUCAAAAGCUUUCUUAAUGACCUUUCGCCAUUUUUUUUCUCUCGUAAACAGUCAGAUGGCCAUCUUAGCUGGCAACCUCUUCAUCCUCAACUCUGUAGGAUAUUAACCCUAACCCUAUCAAAACAAUUUGAUUAAAAAAGGGACAUAUUAUGAAAGUUCUGCCAUGAUAGUGUUUCUACACAUUAAUGUGGCCGUCUGGCCUGUCUACCAACCUCCAAGCGCUGGAAAAAAAAUAACUUGCGUGGUUAUUUUAUGACUCUUGUAAUGAAUUAAUACUAAUUAACCCCGUUGGAAGUUCCGGGGUCUUUGCCGACACUAUCAGACCAAGUGGUAGUCAUCAAAGCGUGACAAUAAAAAUAUGUAUGAGUCUCAAAAUGAGAAUGAUAUGUCUGCUUUAAAUAAAGCUUAAAUAAAUAGAGCAGAAGUUCAGUCACAAAGAAUAUCUUAUCAUUCCUUUUCAUUCAUGUUGUCUGAGUCUCGGUCACUCACAGUGAUUACUCAGCUGAUUUAAUUUACUUUUAAUUAACCAAUGACAUUUGCAGCGUUUCCUUUGUUUGCUUGGUUGUGUUCAAACUGUCAAAUGUUCUCUCUGCUGAUGUCAUUUAUCAUUUUGGCUUGUAUUAGAUGGUUAUGGAAAAGCGUUUUGCUAAGCCUUUGUCACAUAGAAUAUGUGGUAACGAAGACAAUAUCGGAUUCAGAUUUAGACCCUUUCCUGGAAGUCAGGUUGCAAGCCGGGCGUUCAGCCGAACGAGCACCCGGUAAAGGACCACUCACCUCCCCCACAGACGAGCAAGAAGCCCUCAUGGCUCAGCUUGAAGAUUGUGGUGUGGUUUAGGCACCAGGCCUCUCACUCCCAGCUGCGUGAGCUAAUAAAUCUUACAGUUAGCCAAGAUCCAGUUGAUCCCUCCCCUUCCUCCCUCUAACACAAAACUCCUUCUACAUCAUCGACCACCAUCGCCCCCACGGAGGUCUCCAUGCAACAACCAGCUGUCAUGCUGAGUUCAGCCUCUACUUCCACGCUUAUCAAACCCACUCAACAUUCUCUGACAUCUGGACUGCUUGCUCCCCCUCGUAGGCCAUACAUCCCAUAACCAGCUGCUAUAACUGCACGUUUGAAGCAUUAAAGCAUAGUUUAGCAUCUCUGGACUAUUUAAGACAGCAGAUCCACAGUUGAUUAUAGGUUAAUUUGGCAUCCACACAUCACACACAUAGGCAAUUUCAGAUUUGAAAUAUGGGGACAUAUUUUGCCAACACCAUAAAGCCGCCCUGUACAUAACACAAUACACCUUCCGAUUAAGCUUGUCCGUUGUGCACACUGAGUUACAGGUCGUGGCACACAAAAAAUGUUCUGUCAAUCUUGCUGGAAUUUAGGUCACUCACAGUAGCUCAUGCCUCUUUGUGCCAUUUCAAAUCACCUCUCUUCAGGCACGUGACGAUGCAUUCAUAGAGCCCAAUUAGUAUUAACUUGAAAAAGCAUGAUGGACCACAACUGUCUAUCUCCACAUCUGCAGCCACUGCAAGGACACUCAUCUCAUCUGCCCAAAGUGCACAUCCAGGAGGGUUUUGGACUUGCUUCUUAAAUUGAAAUAUUGUUCCCACUUUUCAGCAUGUCAAACCCUGAGCAAACCAGAGGAGCAGGCAUUAGUGAUGUACUUAGAUUAAUUUCUAAAGGUAAUCACAACUUUAAUUGUGAGGAAGUUACAUUACAGGUCAUUUAGCUGCAGCUUUUAUCCAAAGCGACUUACAUUGCAUUUUUAACCUGUGGCUUUUUACAUUUUUGCUCAGGGAGCAAUUAGGGGUUAGGUGUCUUGCUCAGGGACACUUCGACAUGGGACAUAGAGCACUCGGGUUUUCAACUGCCAACCUUGCGGUUCCUAGCACACCCUCUCCACCCCAUGCGCAUGCGCCACCGUGGUGUCAUUUAAAACACCUAAGACCACAUUUCAUAUUGUUGAACAUAAACACUGUAGUCUGAAUCAUCUGCGCUGUCUGGUCUGUGACCCUCCAAUCAGUGCCUUGCGGCUGCGGCGGCUCCACCAAUCAGGACGUAAACACACACACAUAUUAUGGAUCAGCCCGCCUGUUCGGAAUGGAUUCAUUAGUUACGUCGACUUUUUGAGCUUUCUCUUAAUGGUUACAGAGCAGGGGAAGUGUUAACUUGCAGGAUGGCUUUUUUCAUAUUACACGGUUCAGCUGUAACACCCUGGGCCUGUUUCCAGAGGCCUUAUAGAGGUCCUUUCUUUUGUCUCCCCCUCUACUCCCUUCAUUUUUUGAGGCCGACACAUACUUUUCUUUAAUAAAAUGUAAUAAACAACAAACUAUAAACACAUGUAUUCACUGUCAUUGAUUGUAUAUGAGUUUAACUGAUAACAUAAUGCAAUAUAGCAAGGACAGCCUUACAGUCCCGACGCUUUGUGUUGUAAAUGUAUCUGUGUUGCUCUCAAACAUCAAUAAGAAGCCUUCCACUGCCUGUCCAUGCAUAGCUGUUGUAGACUUAAAUGGAAAAUACAACUUUGCCUCUUGACAAGAUAAUUUAUAACUGAUUCCAGAUGUGCCUGAUAAAAUCUUACACAACAGCAAUACCUCGCAGAAUCUCAUACCUCAUAGAUGUUGUGUGCCACUCUGACCUGCACUUCUGCUCUCUUCUGCUGGAUCACUGCAAUGACCUAACAUUCUUUUACAAUGAUUUGGGGAAUUUCUCUCAUCCAGAUUACUCAGAGGGGGAUUAGCUGUAUGCGACCUCAGCAUCCCUCACUUGGUUGUCCUAUUACAGGGGUAGUCCGAUUGCUAUUUGGAACAAUUAUUUCUAUUUUUCACGUGUACAGUACCAGUCAAACGUUUGGACAAACGUUCUCAUUAAAUUGAAAGUAUGUAUGUGGGUCAACACGGCGCAGGGGUAGAGAGGGUGCGUUCGGAACCGCAAGGUUGGCGGUUCGAGCUCCGGCUGCUCCAUGUCCAAGUGUCCCUGAGCAAGACACCUAACCUGUAAUUGCUCCCCGGGCAAAAAUGUAAAAAGCCAAGGGUUAAAAAUGCAAUGUAAGUUACAUUGGAUAAUAGCGUCAGCUAAAUGCCCUGUAAUGUAUGUACUGUAUAUAAAAUUAUUGUUAAAUUCUAAAAGCAAGAUUUUUAUUUGGGUGUGUGUAUAAAUUCCUGCUCAUGAAUGUCAUCGGCAGUGUGGUGGCUGUGCAGGGUGAAUGAAUAUCUAUCCAGCACCACUCUGAGUCACUGACCAAACAAUGAGGAAGAAGUGGUGGCCUGUGGUGGUUACUCUGGUAACUGGGUGACACACAAACAUGUUUAAAAAAAACAGUAUCAUGAAUAUUCCCCAAAUAUGGGGCAAACUACAACUACUUUUAUCUCAAUUCACUGAAGGAUUUCUAACAAUUGAUGCUUGUAGCUGUGCUGAACUAAGUGACAACCAAAUUGGGUGCAACUGAAGCAGUUCAGGCAUUGGAAUGUAUGUGUACAUACAGAACAUGUAAAGUUACACAGUUCUCGGAACUUAGUACUUGUCACUUAUGAGUAUUGGAUGCUGCAUAUUAAAACAUGUUCAAGAAGGAUUGUAGAGGCACUAAUUUGCAUCACAUGACAUUACUAGGCUACGUGACAACACAGCAAGAGUUUUCUAAGACUAACAGGGACAGAUAAGAUUGUCAACAAGGAGUGGAGAACACAUAAAAGCAAAUGGAGUUAAAGUUUAACAGAAAAUAUUACAGUGCUGACAAUACAUGUCAGUUGAGAUAAUAAUUCUGAGUUAAGGAAUAAUGGGACUUGCGAAAGUACUGACUAAUCAAACUACACUUAUUGUGUUAGAUAAAAGUGCCCCACCACAGAAAGAAUUUAGGAUUCGGCAAAAAAAUACUUUCCUAAGGUUAAGGGAAAGAAAAGAUAAUAGUUUUGGGGCAGUAUUUGUGCGACUUAACCUGACCAAAGCAAAAAAAAUCCCCCCUCCCUAACCUACUUUUUUAUAUAUUAUAUAGCUGCGGUGGCCCAGCGGGAACGGGAGAUCGCUGCGGCGGCCCAGCGGGAACGGGAGAUCGCUGCGGCGGCCCAGCUGGAACGGGAGAUCGCUGCGGCGGCCCAGUGGGAACGGGAGAUCGCUGCGGCGGCCCAGCGGGAACGGGAGAUCGCUGCGGCGGCCCAGCUGGAACGGGAGAUCUCUGCGGCGGCCCAGCGGGAACGGGAGAUCGCUGCUGCGGCCCAGCUGGAACGGGAGAUCGCUGCGGCGGCCCAGCUGGAACGGGAGAUCGCUGCGGCGGCCCAGUGGGAACGGGAGGUCGGUGCUUCCUCUUGCCAGGGCUCCUCCUGGGAUUUAGGAUGUCCCGGAGCUCGAGGAUGAGCUGAUAGCUCCUGGGACCGAAGAAAAACUUUGUAUUCCGCUGCCAGAACGGGCUCCUAACAUCCAUGUAGUCAGGUUCGUAGUCUGGCAGCGGGUCUGCUGAGUCCUUUCGUGGUCGCGUCAUUCUGUCAGGGGAUUCGUGGGGAAGGCAGGACUCAAAUGCAGAGUUUAACGCAAAAAGACUUUAAUAGUCGAAAAGGCAACAAAGCAAAAGGCUAACGGGCAAAAACACAUACAGGAAGGGGGGGUGUACAAUUGUCAUUUUGACUGCUGCAUACAGAAACUGAGGUUAAAUUAUUUCAGUAACUACUAAAUUGUACACUGGAAAUGGAAAGCGUACAGUUAAUGGGUCAAAUUGAACAACUUAAUGCUUCAUUCACACCCUCUUGUCACUGCGUAAGGAAAGGACAUUGGUACCAACAGAUGAAAUCUUCAGUGACUACAUUUUGGUUUUUUUAGAACCCAUUGCUGUUACUAAGAUGAGUAGCAAAAAUGCAUAACCCAUUCAUUUUAGAAGAUUGUAAAAUAUAGGCUUUUCUUUUAAAACUUUUGUACCUGUUUAUACAAACAGUGUACAUUUGUAGUGGCAUAUGGGGUUAACAAAUUGCAAAAAAAGGCAGUUAAGGAAAUCGCCUAAUGGUAAUUGAAGGAUAAGAAGUGUCAAUGGAGCAGAAUGAAGAACAAAUGACUUACCGGGCUUGUCAUGAAAUCUGUUCCCUCCUUGUGUUAAUACGACGUGUCAUGCUGACAUUCACUUUACGGAUCUGCUCUGCUUCCUGCUAUAAGAUCAGUUAGCACAAUAGAGGAGUAAUUCUCCCCAUUCCACUCAACAUUUCAACAUGACAAAACAACCCUCUAUGACACAGCUGGUAACGUAACAAAACAAUUUCAACUAAUCAAUGACAUUUCAGAUUUAUUAAUUCCCAGUCACGCCAGAUCUUAGUUGUUGUUUUUCUACCUUUUGCUAAAUGUAUGAGCUGUGUCUUUUCUUUCAAGUGCUCUGUUUAUUUUUUUUCCAGAACAGUACCAUGUGAUAAAUGAACAUUCCAAUGAAUAAUUAGGAAUAAAAGUAAUUCCACCUAGAACUUAAAAAGAAUCUUCAGUGGAGAUGGAAUGUCAAACCGUUUCACAACACACACACACACACACACACACACGCAAUAUUGCACUUAUCAUAGCUUCUGGAAAAACAAUCGGGUCGGUAGAAACAAGUAUGACAAACAGACAGGUUGAAAACAAACCCAGGUUGGCACUUCAUUACCAUUUUCUACCCCCACCAGAUGUCUCCUACCUGGAACUGGACAUGUAUCCAGUGCCCUGUUACAAAACCCACCUGUACUGAGCACCUCUUGGUGCUUUGACCUUUAUUUCUAUUUUGGACAGUGUCAGGAAAUGGCUGGAAAGGGAGUUGGGAAAUUGCAUUCAACAAGCGGUGGAAAGUAUGUAUACUGAAUUCCUAAACUUCGAGAAGUCUAAUAUUGUGACCCUAUUGAUGGGGCAUGACCAUCUGCUUACUUACUCCCACAAUUACCCAUUGUGUCUACCUACACUUACAACCUCAGUUGGUGGAAGUACAAAACGGCUCAUUCGGCUUGAAGAACAAGCAGCUAGAAGCCUCCCGCAUUAAUGCAGGUCCGUGAUAACCGUAAUCACAGUUGCAUUACUUCAUACAGGUACUUUGUUGGCAUCCAAGCUGGAGUUGGUCACAUGGCACAGGAACCCCACAGGACGUUGUUUGUUGUUCAUCUUGUUUCAAGCCACAGAUUUGUUCAUUUUACAUAAUAUAGUACAGAAAUGAGCUGAAAUCGUGAGGAGUAUGUGGUCAUGUGAAUGUUGGUUUGCCAUUUCUCCGUAUAGCAAACCAACAUUCUUGAUGCUGCUUAAAGUUUCCCACCAGUUGUAAAAUUAUUGGAUGUAUGUAGACAGGCACACGAAACCCCGGCCAAAGGCCAUGUCUAAAAGCGUGACUGUUAAAUAUAAGAGGAUAAGACUUCCUUCACUAACAUCCACCCACCCUGUAAACAUAAUGAGCUCAGCUUCUUACCUCCUUAUCUGCUGGAAUCGUGUUCUCGCUCCGGCAGGGUCAAUAUUGACAGUCAGUGUGUGUGUGCUGCGAACGUACAGUAAUUACAGCUCCAAUAGAAGCUGAGUUGAGCUGCUCAAUACUGAAAAGGCAAACAAAGGCUUCAGUCAAAUAUAUUUACUCAGAACAAACACAGGAGUUCUGUCUACAAACACAAGUGUAUUUCAACAGUGACAAAAGCCUCAUUAAGAUGAGUGUUCGGGUGAAUUAGAACUUGUGUUGUGUUUUUUUGGCAGUAGCGUUAUCAGCAUACUCAGUCAGUUACGCACUGAGAGCUGCUAACACGACAAAAAUAACUUUUAAAAAGAAAAGAUUAUGGCAAAUUUAGAUUACGUGGUCUUUUUUGAGAUCAAACUGAAACUGUGUAAACCUAAAAUGUCUGCAGUAAUCUAUUGUAGAAGAAAUGUACAAUUACCACUGCAGAUCCAAGUUGUAAAUUGCAAUGGACAAUGGAUUGCAAUAAUUUCCUCUGUUUCCAACGCUCACGUUAACGGAUAAGCAUACAGAUUCUGAUGCUGAUUCUGAAUUAUUCUUUUCUUAACGGAAUAUCAUUGUUAGCCAUUAUGUGCAGCAACGACUCAUUAAAUGUAAGGGAUUGGAGGUAUGGCGUUGGGUUAGUGUUCUUUAUCACAGUAUGGUGGUAUUGGAACGGCUCAGCCGCUGACAGGAAGAAACUCAAUAAUAAAAGUAGUGAAAGCAGCAUAAAAAUGAUAAAUAAAAUAAAUGUUCAAGUUUUGGGAAGUAUCUCUGAUUAGUAGAACUCACGGGGAAAUUAUCGGCAACACCUCUCAUCCAGGAAAAAGAAAAUUCUGCCUUCCUUCAUAAAAACAGUAGUAUAGUAUUAAGAACAGAGGCAUAUUUAAGGCAUGAGUAAUACAUUAUUGUUAAAUUCUAAUGAAAGCUCUCCUGAUUGAAAUAAUUUUCUCCCUUAAUAGAAUCUCAUUGUUUGUGUCCUUGGAGACCCCACAAGUUAUACAAUGAUCCAGGUUUAUAUUGAACUCCUGCUGAACUUUAAUACUGAAGCUCAUUCUUGCUGUGCGUGUUUGUCUUUACACUGAAGCAUAUCUCUGCAGUUAAAUCCCUUUACAGAGCGUCUCAGCGACACACCACAUCAUCUUGUGUUGACAGAUGCAGUAGAUAGAGUUUUCAUUGGUAGUUAACUGCCUUUCAGGAGUGCCUUGUGCACACAUGAAGGACUUAGGCUGCUUACCAUGAUCCAUGUAUUGUGCUGCACACAUGCCUCAGCAGGGGAUUCAAUGUUAAGAGGCUGAAAAGAGAGGGAGCAGUAUCUUUGAAGUGUUGGUCUCAGGCUUGAUGCUUGUUAAAACAAGAAGAAGGAAUUUCCGGACAAAUCAAGAAAAGAUAAAAACAAUCCCCAUAGAAUUGAUAUGCCCACCUCAAUAAAACGUUAUUAACAGUUUUACUUUUAUUUCUGAUAAAGUUUAAUAUAUUGGACAAUGUUUGCAGCAACAAUAGUUGCUUUCUAAUUGGAAUGUGAUCUAUCAGCUGAUUGCAUUUCCUGACAUUUCAUAUAGUUUCAAUCUCUUCAUAAAUGAUUUGUGUCUUUUUUUCCUUUUUAACAUGCAAUCCUGUAUUAGGGCCAGGUACAGGGUACCAGAGUAUUGUAUUUAUCCAUGGUGAAGUAUACAAACUUUAUUAAACACAGAAGGAAUAAUGUGUACUGCACAAUAGUUCAGGUUUAUAUUGAUCUAUUUACAAAUAAUUUAUCAAGGUAAUAUAAGCCUUCAUUUGAAGUUUUUCUGAACUGUACGCCCAAUAUUCACUCUCUAAGCUCUGUUUUGGUCACCACUAACUGCAAUUUCAAGUGUAUCUGUAUCUUUAGCAGCUAAAUACUAAAAAAGAGGUUGAUGAGACCACUAAAAUUAUGCUUUGUAAGACAUCUGUAGAGUAAAUCUGGGGAUAAUUCUCAAGUUGAUCUGCUGAGCGUCCCAACUACUUGUGCCUUAAGCUGAGUCAGAAUUCAUUUAACACGUUUCCCCGAAGGUGCACCUUUAAUCUCCACUAUAUUAUUUGUAGAGGAUAGUUUUGUUGCUGGUGUUUAAAUCCUUUGUGAAGCCCAUUUUGAAAAUACCACACAUGCCUCUACUUGAGUUUGUCUUUGGAGCCAAAAAAUGUAUUUUGUCAUGCAACCCUACCUCGAUCACAAUAAAUUAUCCCUAUCCUGAGUGUGUGGAUUGGUGUCCUGUGCAAUAGUUCUAUUUUAACAAACUGUAUGCACUGUAAUGCUGGUACUUGAAUUAAAGGAAAAAAUACAUAAGGCCAAAAAUAUAAUAACUGCCGUAAUCAUCUAUUUUCAGAGCAGAAGGAAAGAGAGAAAGGAGCUGUGUGUAUACAUUCCUCCACUGCAGACGGAGGAAGUUGCAUUGUUUAGGUAUGUUGUAACUCCCCGCUUACAUAGAAGAACAAUGACACCACGUCAUCCCAACACGUUCAAUUGUGAGAACUGACGGGGUUUGAUGAUGUGUCAAGGAGUCUUGCGGUAGUGUAUCGCAAAUCCAUAGGAACGCCCAGAGCUCUAGAUUUGGUAUCAUUGUGUGUUUGGAAGCUGUUAUCUUUACGUGAGGUAAGAUUAAGCCUUUUUGUUUUUGAUAAAAUGUGCAGAUAGCAUAUCAUUGCAGUUCAAAAAGAGAAAGUUGGUUUAUCCUCCUUUUAUAAAACUACAGAAUGGAAUAUUGGUAGUCAUAAUACAUGCCUCUUUGUUUAUAACGAAAAUCUAAUAGUAGAUGCAGCAUACAGACAACAUUUAGUUCGUCAUUCCUGGAACUUGAUCGGUUUGGUAUAAAGCUCAAUUAUUUCAUGAGUAUGUAAGAUUUUAAAAUCAGGAUUAAACAUGUUCUACUACAAUUACUUUCUUAGCCUUUUUUUGAUUUGAUGUAUUUUGUAACUUAUGCUUUUCUAUAAUUUUUGAAGACGUACUAUACAAACAUUUUAUUAUGAAGUUUUUUUUAAAUAAUAUAUAUGUAAUAGUAAUAAUAAUAGAGCUUUCAAUAGAUUUAAAGAAAUUAACAAAUUAGGGUAACGUUAGAUGUUGAGAUGGAAGUAGCAUAGCAGCUAGCUUAGCCUAGCAGAUAGCUUAGGCUAGCAGCGAGCUUAACAUAGCAGUGCUUUAAGUGGUCCGUUUGCCACUCACCCCCCUUCUGUUUGAAAUGCGGUGUAAUUCCUCUGCAUAGUUCUCCGCUGUAUGUUGCACCUCUGUUUUAUUUGACUUGACUUUGACAAUGCAAAAAGCUUUCUCCAUCUUGAUGUAACUGACUGCAGUUAGCGGCCGUUUCGUUUCCACAGUCAAUAAAUGCAAACUACGUUAAAAUAUUUUGUUGCAUUAUUAUCAGUAACAUUAAUCGCAUAGAUGAAUGCGUUUAUGUUGACAGCCCUAAAUAAUAAUAAGAACUAGAGUAUGGCCUAUACUGCCCGCAGGUGCCUGUGCAUGAAACAAGAAGGCUAGCUAGCUACUAAGCACAUGACACAUUUUUCUCUGGCUGUUUUAGCCACGUGUCAGCAGUUAGGUCCUGUUACUAGUGCAAUGCUAGCUACAGCCAUGUUAGCGUCACGCCCCCCCCGCCGUCGGCCGUAUCGUUGUCCCGUCCCCCGACGUAACGUCCGUGCCUUGCCCCCCCCACCGUCGGCCGUAUUGUCCCCCCUCGAUAUUCUCUGGCUGUUUUAGCCAUUUGUCAGCUGUAACGCUGUAACGUCAGCUAGACUUACACGCUACACACAAAAACGGAAAAAAAACACAUAGUGACAUUCGGGAAUGAAUGUUCAAUGUUCACAUGUGUUACAAGUUUGGUGAGGGCAGGCCAAACCAUUUGGAAGUUACGAGUCAGAUUAAGCGCACGAGACUACAUUUUAAUCAACAAUUAAUUGCAGCGUCCCCUAUUCUUCAGUACCUAGGCAGUGACCCAUGGUCGUUAUAGACAAAACCUGAGAAAGCUAACUGUUCCAAGAUGCAACCCACUUCAUGUUCCACCUGCUGACAUGAACGAGGAAACACAGAGAGAUAUACCAUAACUGUCAUCGCAGACUGGAGCAGCCAGUGCAACAGGCCUGACGUGAGGACCACUGAAACUAGUGUAGAAACUAUUCUUAAGAGGGCAUUCAGCCUUUCAAUGACCCCUGUCCUUGCAGUAAUGAAGUAAGUCAUUAGUCUCCCCCUUCUGCUCAGUCCUUUCUGACUUACUCCAACGAGGACUUGCCCUCCUGCUCCCACCGUUUUGUGGGUCAAAAAAUGCUGCCACUCCCUCUGCGCACACAGUCAACCUGGGAUCUGUGCUCAUGUUCACCACGGUGUAUGUCUAAGUGCAUACUCAUCCAGAGUGGCUGCUUCUGCGGCUGUCCUGACUUUGUGGUAAUUUAUAUAUGUAGCCGUGGGAGUAGAAACGUCCCACAGGUCUAUAAAAUCAUACAACGCAGUAUAUGACUGAAUACCCAUUGAAGUACUCCAACGACAAAAAUGAGUAGUUAGCAAACCCUGGCAUACUCCAUGUGCGUCGUUAACUAGACUGCCCCCUAGUCAGGUGCUACUUGUACAAUGUCCCCCAGUCUUCGGGUGCUACUUGUAGUGGGUAUAUACAGACUUAAACCCACAGGCCUUGUAAGACACCAUAACUAGUAAACCAUCUGAAGCCUUGGACGUGCCCCAGAAACAACCGCUCCAACCAUUUUUGUUGCCAUACUAACCAAUCCCCCCAACGUACUCCACAGGGAAUGCGCUCUACAGCAUGGCAGGGGCAGAAAAACAGCAAUUUACUCACCGUAUAAAGGCCACCCAAAUCUGACAGAAAAAUAACCAGCAUACCAGUUCUGUGACAACUCGAACAAACCGCCUACUUAUCAAACUCAAAUGUCUCCCAAAAAACAUGUUUCAAAACAAGGCGCCCAGCCUACCAGCCUGCAGCAGCUUCAGACAUUACUGCUGAGGGCUGAAGUCAAUAUCCAACCAGGUCAAAUGGAAAAUUGACGAGCCCGCAUAUGUUCCAGCCCGGCUUCGAGACCGAGAUAAAAACCAGGAGACAAAUGAGCUGGUGUGGCUCACACUUUGAUUUGAGGUUCGUCAGCUGAGAAUAAAAAAUUGAGUCUACGACAAAGUCUUGAUAACUGCAUCCUAUUUCUAACAUGAGUAUGAUAUUAUAGUAUUCAUAUAAUCAUCCCACCUUCAACACCCAAUUAUUACUAAACCUUUUUUUUGACUUUGUACUGUUAUAUUAAGGGAAACGUGUUUAUCCUUGAAAAAGAAAAUCAGCAAACUACCAAAAAAGGUGAAUAAUGCGGCAUGCAUUUCAAGUACUUCUAUAGAUAUAGAAUGGACUUUCUUGCCCUCUAAGCCUAUGAUGCAAUGAUUUAACAUUUAUUGUAGCACAAAAGUUAAAAAAAAGAAAAGAAAAGAGCAUGGCAGACAAAAAAUGCAUAGUGUACCACAUUUGUGUGUUUAAAGAGAAUUAAUAGUGUUUGUCUUGUGGUGAUUAUGAUUUCUUUGCCUUCACUUAUUUAUAUAUAUUUUGAUGCUGGGUGCUGGCUGGUGCUCUUGUGUUUCCAGGCAGGGCGGGACGGCUGAGAGGAGCGCUCUCUCACCACUCUCACCAGUGGCUAAUUAACAAUGUGGCCCCAGUUAAAGUCUGCUGUCUCCCGGGCUCCCGUGUCGGAUUAUUGUCUCCCAUCGACGCAACGCGCAUGCCAGCGUGUUUGCUCAGCCUGCGCUCUGUACCCUGCCCAGCCUUCCACCGAACCUGCCAGCAGCCCACCCCCGGGCCUCUCCUCACGAUCCCCUGGACACGAGACCCCCUGAAUAAAUCCUUUCUUUUUGACCUCAAAACUGUCUGUCUCCGGUUUGAUUUUGGAUCCAGUUCUCAUCCCCCCUAACAUGUCUGUAUGCAGGGGAUACGAACAAGCAUAGAAUGUGAAGGAAGAGCAUGUCAUGUUACAGUACAACAUAGACACUGCAAAACUGAAAACAGGCCAGUAAGCAGAGUGGUUACCCCUCAUGUGCUGAUUCCUAUAUUCUCUAAUGGACAUGUAGUUUUUGCCAAAUACAGAGCAUCUGAGAAGUUUCCCUAGAACCAGGACUUCAACCCUAAAGGUAAACUUUACCGGGAAUAAGCUUCUCCUUUUCCCAUCCGCCCUGUUAUCCAUAUUCCACUCAUACAGUAUGUAGUUUGGAAUGUAAUCAUGUCUAUGCAGCAGAUAUUCCAGGAACCGGAUAUCAGCGUGCAUGACACAUAUGAGUGAGAACUGAUGAAACCGCUGCUUCGCCUGGUUUUCAAGGGAUUAAAUGGAACUUGGGAUCAGGGACAAUGUAUUCAAUCUCAAAAAAGAAUGUUUGUUUGCUCCCAAAGUCAACAGUCAAAGUAAUAUUUAUUUGCCUUAUCUGAGUGAAAAAUAGAAAAGAUAUUAUUUCCAAAUGUUGUUACAACACAUAUGCAGAAAAUAAUCAUACAAACCGCUCCUUAAAAGCAGUAAACAAUCACAUGAUGAGAGACAUGAAUGUAAGUGUGUGUGUGUGGGGGGGGGAGGUACAGUUUACGGACUGGUCGCAGUGGCAGAUUUAAACACAACAAGCAUCAACGCAGCAGAAAGCGCCACAGUUGUGUUACACAUCACUGAACAGGACUCGGCGUUCCUGUACACCACGCAAUAACAUGGUAGCAGUACAGUUUAAUAAAAAACUAAAGUAGCAAACAAAGUAUGACCUAUCUCUGUCCUGACAAUUCGGUAUGACAGCGGUGAUUCGGCUGUCGAACUAAAAGGCAUCUCUCCAGAACCUAAGUGGUCGCCAUACCGCUCUGUACGGGCCAGUUCACGUGUGAGCUGAUUCUCGUCUGCCAGCUAGUGUUGUCUUAGAGAAAACAGGACUUCCGUAAUCCUCUUUCUGCAGGAUAAAGUACAGUAUGACAGCACAGGGCAAGUUGAACGUUUCUUCUUUGGGAUCCAGGUUUUCCACUUCACAUUCAGGCCUCUUCCUUUGUUUCAGCUGCUUGGGGAAGUCUCAACACUUUAAAGUGUUGUCCGCCUUGGAAGGAGACGUGAAUGCUUGUGUUUGCUUUAGCGGCAAACAAGACCAAAAGGUUACACUUAACAAAAUGAAUCAACAACCACGAAGAUUUUAUUGAACUCCAAGGGACCUGCGUAGCAAAGCUGCUAAUCCAGUCAAGUUUAUAGGGUCCCAUAAAUCCACUAUCUUCAGAAGAACAUAUAUAUGUACUUGUGUCAAUAUGGUUUCAUUUCUAAUAGGUACAUUCCAAACUACCCUCAUUUUUUCCCAUAUGUUUGGAAUGAUUUGCUGUAUAAAUAGAUGUGUGCAAAAUAUGACUUCUUUUGAGUUUCGUUAUCAUGCAGACGUGUAGAGGCCAAUGUCGGGGUUACUACAGGACAGUGAGAUAUGCUGCAGCACAUGAGCUGUACUGCUCACUUCUCUGUUUACUUUCCAACCAAAACACUGAUUGCACACACAGGCGAGCACACACACACGCACCCACACCCACACACACACACACACAAGCACGCCAACACACCGCUACAGAGACCCCAGAAGACACACAGCGCCAUUCGACUAUCAACAGGAAACAUCUUUUGCAGAACAGGAAGUGCUAGUUUCUAAUUGGUUGGGUGUGAUUCAGCGAGAGCUGUGUCUCAGCCAAUCAGGGAGAUCUUAUUUUAGGGCUGGGUAUAAAAAGAGAGGGCCUGCUCUGCCGAUGGUCAGAGUUAGGUUCACAUGUAUCUGUGUGUGCGUGCCUGUUUUCCUAGUUAAAUUACACACAAGUUCCCUUUUGUGAAACUGAUUCAUUCAUUUUUAAAUUAAAGAUCAUAUUCAGUUCAAAGUUCUUGUGAAAACGCAAUGUGUUUUUUCCUUCUCUUUGUGGUGAUCUGACAUGCUUCAACGUGAGAGCCUCUAACACAAGCCAUCCCCACCGCCGCGUUCAUAUGGCUUCAUGCUGUAAUGUGAAACUGUGUAUUAGUCAACAGCAUGGCAGCACAGUUCAUGAUCAAACUCCAGACUUACUCAUGUUGACUGCAGCUUUGGGAAUAUAUUUUGAUUCAUCUUGUGAUUGGUUAAAUAUAAUGUAACUAACUCUAUGUAUUGUUUUAUCUAAAGGUUGGGGAAGCAGACAGGAGGAGGAGAAUUCAAUCAGCUGAGAACCAAGUUCUUCCUCCCUUUUCUUACCACUGUCUUUUUGAGCAAAAGCCUUAAAAGAUAAAAGAUAUUUGUCAUUUUUCAAUGUUAACUGUUGACUAUUUUGUGAGUCAACAGUGAGCUGUUGACCAAAGGCAUUAUUUACAUUAUUUACAAUUCGUUUCUAAUUCUAAUUAGUCACAUUGAGCCUUUUGAGUAUAUUUUAAUAUUGUUUCUGUUACUUAAAUAUAUAAUAUGUUACUUUUGUCGGUUGGUGUUAACAAAUACAACAUUCUUGAACUCUGCUAAAUGAGCCAAAGAGACCAAGACAGUAGUGAAGGUUGAUGGUAAAACAUUGUGUCUGUUAUAGACAAUUAUGGGUAGAAAAGAAGUCAAAGCACCACCCAGGUUUGGAUCCGGCAGGCCUUUCCUUUCCAUUUUUCAGCGUGUUAGCCAUGUGUUGGACGGUGGCCAACGAGCUCUUCUCCCAGCAAAGGCUCACCCACAGACAGCGUACCAGACAACACAGCUCCAGGUCAACUGAGGAACACACAGCCCUCACAUUAACUUAGGGAUCCAUUGGCUUUUCCAUCUUGCCUUGUGUUUUUCCAUUUCUGUUAUUGCGCUUGUUAGAAAAGUCUCAAUCUCUGAUUGUUAAUUACAGUUGUCCGUUAUCUUCUCUGCUACCCUCAGCUAUCAUUCAGUACCAGUUGUCAGUGUGCCCUUCCACAGAGCAUCCCAGAAGUUUCCUUAGAACCAGAACUUCAACCGAAAAAAGCUUCUCCUUUUCCCGUCCGCCCUGUUGUCUAUAUCCCACACAUACAGUAUGUCGUUUGGAAUGUAAUCAUGUCUAUGCAGCAGAUAUUCCAGGAACCGUAUAUAUGGAUGCAUGAUACAUAUCAGUGAGAACUGAUGAAACCGCUGCUUCGCCUGGUUUUCAAGGGAUUAAAUGGAACUUGCAUACACUUAAAUUCCAGAUCCACUUCACA
ensembl:lncRNA